ensembl:lncRNA
GAGAUGAUGAUUAAAAUUAGUUCGGUGCUGAUGUGAAAUCAGACCCCUUCAAAUCAGGGUGUCUAUGUACAAUGCACUGCGUAUGCCCUGCCAAGGAGGACUGAGAGAGAAUUGGAUACUCUCUCCUGGGUUGAUGCCUGAGGAAUUAUUCUGCUCUUUUUCAGGAAAUACAGAAGAUAUUUCACAGCGUGCCUUCUCCUGCUGUAUGCCCUCCAUUGCAGAGAAAUGAAUGCACCAGAAGUCUUGAUGCUGAAGGGACCUGUAGCUGCCACCUCCAACCCCCUUACACUAUGCCAUUUGGAGUGGAGCUGCAGGGGUGCAUUACAGAGUUUCCUGCCAUUUGAGUCGAUGGUUUACGAGCUGCACAUGUUGUCUGAUAUUUUCACCACAGGUAAUCUUUAAAGCAAUAGAAUGUGAUAAGUUCCAGAUAUCUUUCAUAGGAACACCUAACAUGACAAAAGCUCGACUGGUUUUCCCUCUGUCGAUACAGAGUAUUUGCGGCCAAGGUAUUCCAGUUUCGCUGGUCAGAAUCAGUGAUGAAGACUAAAGGGAGCAACGAUUUGUUGACUGGGAAGAGAAGGUAACACAACUAUACUUACUGAUCUCUUCAUAAGACAGUUUAAUCUUGCUUUACUUUCUGCAAAGUCCUCUAAGCUGUGUCAUCAAUGUUCUCUGUGGCAAAGAAUUUAAACUCUUUAUUCCUUUGGAUGGCGAAAGCAGGACUGUACCGGUUUUGAUCUUAGAUUAUCAACUUCUUAAGGGCAUGGACUUUGUCGGCUAAUUUGCUUGAAAUCAAGCAUUGCUCCAUUGCAGAGAGAACCUGGCAUUCCAUUCUUCUCUAUGGGUGACGUUUUCCUACCUUUAUUCAUCAUAUAUACAUGCCUUUUUAUGUCCAAGCUUCAGAAGAGGGCAGUACCUUCCACACUCUUGGUAACAGCACCAAAAGACGAUUGUUUCUCAUACUAUGAUACAGUAUGAUGCAGAAGAAUGCUUCUUCCGAAGCCUUCAUGUGACUACCAGUGACAAAAGAUGACUACCAGUGUCUCCAAAAAAGAUGUUGUUUCUCCAAAUGAAAUGGCUGCAUCCACAACUGAUUUAUCCACAUAAGAUAUACUUGCAUUUCUGCAGGAUUAUCUCAGAAUUCUCUGCUGAAUGCAUGGCGGUCUCAUCACCUGACGCUCAUUCCCUUAAAGUUGAAAUAAAUUGGAUUUUAUAAUCUGGACUCACUUACAUAUCAAUGCUCUCGUAUUCAAAGGUGCUGAUGGUAAUGACCAUAAAAAUUUGGGUUUUUAGGAGAAUGGUGGAGGUGACUGAAUGUUGCCACUGAAUUGUAAUUAAGUUGUUGGAAAGGGCCAUCCUAGUUUAUAGCUAUGCUUGUUGAUUUAACAAUCAGUGUGAAGGCUUUCCUUUAAAAGACCAACUUACCCUUUUAGAGCUGCUAACCAGAGCAAGCUGACUUCUGGCACAGCUGCCUAGCUUUGCACAGCCUGGCUACUCAAAGUGUGGGCCCUGGCUUGCCAUCCUCAGCGUCACCCAGGAAGUAGCAGAAAUGCAGAAAUCUCAGCCUCCAAGCUCACUCCAGGCCUAUUACAUCAGAACAAGGUCUCACGACAGCUGGGCAAGUUAACAUUUGAGAAGUGGGGCUCUAUACUGGGUCGUAUUUUCUGAGAUUGUGAUUUAAAGACCCUAUUUGGUUUUGCUUCUUAGGAUGUGAUGCCCUAUUUCAACAAGGCCUCACUGAGCUGGGUACUGGUACUCAUUUUACGCAUCUGACGAGUCCAGUGGAAACCCCUCAUGGAGAGCAUCUCUGUAGUGCCAGGUGACUUCCUGAGUCUCAGGUCUUGUUACUGAUGAUUUUUGUUCUGCAGCCCUUGUGUCUAAUGCCACUGUUUCUCACUUUAUUUGGUUAAUAAACAUAGAAUUAUGAUAAAGCGUGAUGCAGAAUAAUUUUUAUUCCUCGAGAGCCUUCACGUGACUACCAGUGAUGAACGAAACCAAAGGCUUAUGUGUCCUCAGCCUGCACAAGUGUUUUGGCACCGCGAUUUCCGGAUGCUGAAAGUUAAUGCAGAUGUUGUUUUAAGCUUUGGAGCAGGGCGCUCGAGAAUACGUAUUUAAACUUAAUGUAUACAGUACUAAAGAUGUUAGACAAAUAUGCAGAACAUCGUAAAUUAGACUAAGUUUAUAAUCAAUUAAAUACUUUGGAGCACCUCUGGACAAAGUCGAGAGAAGUAAAAUUGUACCUGUAACCUCACCUUUGUCAUACCGUCAUGAAAUGUUUACAUGUAUGGAACUUCAAGGCUUCCUGAGAUAUAAUAAAAGUACCACUGGUAUACAGGAAUGAUAAUUCCUCAUCCUCUAUUCAUAUUGCACACAAUUUUCAUUUGAACAAUGGGUUUGCAAGUUGUCAACCUCAGACUCUUCCAUGUUCCAUUUUCAGGAUUGUGUGUGCGUGGAGCAAAGUAUAACGGUGUUGAUCCCACCAGGAGUAAACUCCUCAUCACUACC